CCCACGUCUCUUAAAUCCUCUCUGCAAACACACUAAACCCUAGCCGCCUCCACCUUAACCUACCCUAAUCCAUGGCUCCCCAGGACCAUCUAAGAGUUGUAGUAGCCUCCCAUUACUUUUACGUGCUUGUUGUAGUGGUCUUAUGACUAGAUUUUGAAGGGGCUUGGUAUAGUAUUUUGUUUAAUGACUGUUCUCCGGCCGUGUCUGACCUUUCUCCGGCCAGCUAUGGCCAUUCGAGUCAGACCUUUGACUCUCCUAUUUAGAUUGAUGGUCUUCAAGGACUUUCUCGUCAUUUGGGAUUCUUCUGAAACCAUAAUCUCUAAGAGUUUUUCGACCUCUCUCAACUUCACUUUAGAUCCAUGCUUUCUAUUUGUUCAUAAGCACUUUCUCGAGGUCUCUUUAAUUUUUGCUUUCAAAAAAGACUCUUUGC
rnacentral:lncRNA from 1 species